GAUGAACGCUGGCGGCGUGCCUAAUACAUGCAAGUCGAGCGAAUGGAUUAAGAGCUUGCUCUUAUGAAGUUAGCGGCGGACGGGUGAGUAACACGUGGGUAACCUGCCCAUAAGACUGGGAUAACUCCGGGAAACCGGGGCUAAUACCGGAUAACAUUUUGAACCGCAUGGUUCGAAAUUGAAAGGCGGCUUCGGCUGUCACUUAUGGAUGGACCCGCGUCGCAUUAGCUAGUUGGUGAGGUAACGGCUCACCAAGGGAACGAUGCGUAGCCGACCUGAGAGGGUGAGCGGCCACACUGGGAAUGAGACACGGCCCAGACUCCUACGGGAGGCAGCAGUAGGGAAUCUUCCGCAAUGGACGAAAGUCUGACGGAGCAACGCCGCGUGAGUGAUGAAGGCUUUCGGGUCGUAAAACUCUGUUGUUAGGGAAGAACAAGUGCUAGUUGAAUAAGCUGGCACCUUGACGGUACCUAACCAGAAAGCCACGGCUAACUACGUGCCAGCAGCCGCCGCGG
rnacentral:rRNA from 1 species